rnacentral:piRNA from 1 species
AUUGGUGGAAAUGUGUGAC